rnacentral:ncRNA from 1 species
AAAGAUGCGAUGAUGAGGAAGAGUACUUCAUACUGUUUGUAAGAGAGGAAAACCCUUAGGCUGUAAGGUUUUCUCAAAAAAAGAUGAACAAAGGUAGCCUCUGAUGCAGCUUUACUGAACAAUUCAAGUAGGUAAAAGCCGGUGAAUCCGAUAUCUUCUUUAAUCAAGUGUAUAAGUAGUAAUACUUAUAAACAAAGGUGGUACCGCGGAAAUCAACCCUUUUCGUCCUUUAA